rnacentral:rRNA from 1 species
CUAAUACCUUAUACUCCUUAUUAACAGAAGUUUAAUAAAGGGGAAAGAUUUUAUUGGUAAGAGAUUAGCCUGUAUUGUAUCAGUUAGUUGGUGGGGUAAUGGCUUACCAAGACUAUGACACAUAACUGGGUUUUGAGAGGAUGAUCAGUCACACUGGAACUGAGACACGGUCCAGACUCCUACGGGGAGGCAGCAGGUGGGGAAUAUUGCACAAUGGACGAAAGUCUGAUGCAGCAACGCCGCGUGGAGGAUGACACAUUUCGGUGCGUAAACUCCUUUUAUAUGAGAAGAUAAUGACGGUAUUAUAUGAAUAAGCACCGGCUAACUCCGUG